rnacentral:misc_RNA from 1 species
UCCGGUUUGUCACCGGCAGUCUCCCUAGAGUCCCCGGCAUUAUCCGCUGGCAACUAAGGACGGGGGUUGCGCUCGUUGCGGGACUUAACCCAACAUCUCACGACACGAGCUGACGACAGCCAUGCACCACCUGUGAUCCUGCCCCGAAGGGAAGCCGUGUUUCCACGGCGGUCAGGAACAUGUCAAGCCCAGGUAAGGUUCUUCGCGUUGCGUCGAAUUAAUCCACAUCAUCCACCGCUUGUGCGGGUCCCCGUCAAUUCCUUUGAGUUUUAAUCUUGCGACCGUACUCCCCAGGCGGGAUGCUUAAUGCGUUAGCUGCGCCACUGAGCAGCAAGCUGCCCAACGGCUAGCAUCCAUCGUUUACGGCGUGGACUAC